UGACGUGGAUCACCCAACCAGAAGCAGUUAGUUCCAAUUCUCCAUCCCCAUCUCCUCCAGAGGUCUGAAAAAUCUCCAUGAUAAAAAAAUUGCUUCAAGCUGGGCCCGUUUCGCACAGUACCAUGAGGUGUGAUAUUCAUUCAUUCAGCAGAUAUUUUCAAGACUCUUCUAUGCCAGCCUCUAGGGAUAUAGCAGUAAAAGAAACAGACUCUGCCUUCAUGGGGCUUAUAUUGUAAUGGGGGUGACAGACAGCAGAUGC